AUGAAGGCCAUGCUGAAUGCAGAGGAUAUGUUUCAUGGCCUAUGUGUCAAACACAAGGCCAGAUCAGGCCCGCCACCAAUCCUAUCCAGCCCGCAGAACACUGAGGCUAGACAUGGGCAGCUAACUGUACCCUAUCCUUCCCGGAAGCCUGCUGUGUACCUUAACCAGGCCAGCAGCGGUCGCCACUGACCAUUUGGUCCCUCAGGAUGUUGAACUCGUGUGACCUCAGACGCAUGCAGCCCUGCUGCUCCCGAUCAUGUGCAUGGCACAGCUCUGUUUCACGCUUGACAGCCAUGCUGCGCCUCUCUGAUCCAUUGAUCUGCUAGCUAUUGCGUGGGUGACUAGAGGCCACUGUGUAGCCCUGCAUCCUGCUGACAAGCCUGUAAAUGACCCAAAUAUCUCUUUAUGACUAACUCACUCACCUAACAGUGAUGCUAAUGUAGUUAGGCUACCAUAAAGUCUGGAGGCUGUCCCACCAAAACGUCCUUCACAGGACUCUGAAGUGAAUGCUGGAUGUGACUGUCAGAUACUGUUACAUUACAUGAGAAGGAAACCUCCUCUGUGUUGUGUUUUGGGCUGUCGGGCAUUUACGAGGGAGAAAUUACUCAUUGGCAUUUGAAAAAAGGAGAGAUCAGACUCACGAAUUAGAAUA
ensembl:lncRNA